GGGGAAUGAAGACCUAGUUCAGGGAAUAGGAGGGUGUAUCGCCGCCGGAGUGCGGAACACCCUCGCCUUGAGGGUUCCCACAGUGACUUGCAAAAGUCUAGUGAGACCCGAGAAGGCUGAGGCGGGACACGAAGCAUGUGGUUCUUGUGGUUGCGACGCUCGUGCCGCCAUCUUGGGUGCUGGCGGCGGAAACCGGUACCCCAACUUCCCCUCGGUGCGAACCUGGAGAAGCCACCCCAGCUGUGAGGGACGGUUGCGCCUCAUGGCCCAGGCAAGGGUACCUUCGCUGGAGCAGUACCGCGGACGGAUAUCAUGAGGGUGGCGGGACGUUGGCGGGACGUUGGCGGAACGUUGGCGGAACGUUGGCGGUGUGAGAGGUGUGGGGUAAUGGCGAUUUUUGUCAUGGUAGAAACAGCCCAAAGGAUCCCCCUCGUUUGGCCUCCCACGCAGCUUAGUCUUGCUUUUUUAGGGAUGUUUCUCAGUUUUUAAUUCCUCCAGUCCCAUCUGGUUAUAUUUCCAAAACAUGUUUGUGACUCUCAAACGUUAGUUUACUCCCAGCAUCACUUGGGGAGCUUGCUAAGCUACGAAUUCCGAGGUCCCACUGGAGAGUCUGAUUUAAUGACCCUGGAGUGGCGGCCGGAUAACCUGCCUGCUGGGGUGAUUUUAACGCAGCUGAUGCGAAGACCCCAUUUAGGGAAUCAUUGGGUUGGCGUUUGCAAUGCGUUCCUCCCAGCUAUAGGACAAAGAGGUGUCAACUCAACUCUGUCUUCUUAGAAGAGCCCAUUAUUUAUAGGCUGGACUGGAACUCCUGGACUCAAGCGAUCUUCCCAUUUAUCAGGGACUACUGACGCGUGUCUCCCAA
rnacentral:lncRNA from 1 species